rnacentral:tRNA from 1 species
GGCUUUAUAGUAUAAUUAAAUACGUUUGAUUGCAAAUCUAAAGAUGUGUAAAACACUAGGGUCU